rnacentral:tRNA from 1 species
GGUGAUGUGGCUCAAUGGUAGAGCUCUUGCCUUGCAUGCAAGAGGCUCUGAGUUCAAUCCCCAGCACCAUUCA